AAUAACGCGUGUAAAGGGAUCAUCAUCAAAAUUGUUUGGAAACUAACAGUUCUUCCUUAAAGUACAUUGCUUCAAAUACCAUAGAAAAUACACUUUUCAGCAAUGCAGAAAAACUCAGUAGAAAAGAGAUUUAUAUGUUCCAGAAGUCACUCAAGACACAGAGAUCCUAAAUUCAAAAAUUAACUGUAAUGAUUCAACUACAAGGAUCACAGCAAAGUAGCUUUUUUCUUCAACCAAUCUAUUAAACAGUUUUUUAACAAACUACAUUAAAGAACCACAGUAUGCAUUGAAAGUUAACUUUAAAUACAAAAUUAAACGCUAUAUAAUCCUCCAAGUGCAUUCUUGGAUAUAUUCACUACACCCAAACCUUUAAUACAUUCUAAGUUCAUCUAGAUAUGUUUUCCUCAAAACUAAAAUGUGAAUGUGAACAAAUCAAGAAAAUAGCAGAUGUCAUAUUACCAGUGACAUGACAAACUACAGCACAGAACCUUCUCAGAAAUGUAAAUAAAUGUCUUAAGCAAGUUUCACAGGCUGCUGCAUUUAUAGGUAAAUACUUCCAUAUUGUUAGUAUUUCCCAUGUGAAUAUGCAAUAAAAAAAAAAAAAACAGCAUGACUUCUUUCUAAUAUAAAUAUUCACAUCACUGUAUUAAAUCAUAUUGGCCUACACAGCAAUAAAAUAAGGAAGAAGCCCUUCACAUUAACUUAUGUAGUGCUUUGAAAAUUGAUAUACAUGCUUGAACUGAAGCUCACAGACUGCAUUGACAACAGUUUGAAAGACCAUAUUUUAUGUGAUACACCUAUGAAAAUGCAGCAACUACUAUAGAAUUUCCAGCUUAAUUUGGGAAAAAAUAAUAAUUAAAAGGAUCUCAGCUGAACAAGACAUAGACAAGUCUACCAUGUUGAACAUAGGCUUUAUACAAAUACGUAUAGGUACAAACAUCCAAACAGAAGGGGCAGUAUAGUAAGCAUAGGUGUUUCAGGCCUUUUAAGCAGGACUAUAGGCUUACAAUGCUGCACCCAAAAGAAUGACAUCUCUCUGACUUUUAACACAGCUACUAUGAAGGAAUUCACAUGGUUUCAGCCAGUUUAGAAACAUGUGAGCUUUGUUCAACUACCUCAUCUGGGAGUGGUCAGAGAGGUAGUGGUCAAUGCCACCCCCAAAAAAUUAAGAAACUGUCAUUUUGUGGAAUCUAGAAAUAUUAUUCCAACCUGAUAAAAUUUCACAAAAAUUUUGAGAAACAGAAGUUCAAUAUUAGCAAAUAAUUUUCAAACCAUUCUCAACCUGCUCCCAAAUUAUUUUACUGCACAAUGAACAUAGCUGUUUACUUUAAACGUUAGCCAUCUACCAGCCUUACAUAAUAGACGAGAUACAUUUAUAACAAAUAUUCUUUAGCAAGUCUCUUUCAAUAUCUUCAACUGGAAGUGUUUCAUAUAGUAUGAACAGUUUUACUGGAAUACAGGUUGAACCAAAGUUCAGAUACCCGGAGUAUAUGUCAUAAACCCUCAGAUAAGCAUUUCUUUCGUUUACCCACAGUAUGAGCUAUGUUUUGCCUAAGAUAGGGGCUAAAACUCCUUUUACAGUAAGAACAUUUAAAACAUGGAGAAGGUGUUGCUGAGCCUUCUCUGCCUAAGGUCUCAGAACUGUUUAAUAUGAAAAACUAGUCGAAGACAACACAGACAGUAAUACUGUGGGUACAGGCAUGGCGGUUUCCCCUAAUAGGUAGUUGAACUCCAUGUCCAUUCUUUAAGUCCUCCUCAAAAGAAAAGAGGGAGAAUGAUGAUGAAAAAAUCUCCUCAGGUGGAUCGCUCAGUGAUUAGCAACCCAGACAUAACAGACUCAGCAUAGGGAGAUUAACAUACCACACUGCCUGUUUACUAACAGACUAGAACACCAAGAAACUCAAAGCAAAACAAAAACACCUUCCCACCAUUCGCUCUCUCCUACCUCUUCCUCCCGAGUAGUGCAGAAGAACACACCUCCACGAUCCCUCCCAUAGGCUGCCAUCCUCCCUGAACUGACCUGUGUUGGCUUCCCAAGGGUGCAGCUCAUGAAGUACUGCUCCAACAUGGUUCCUUUUCACGUAGCCCAUCUUCAGGAGUGCACUGCUGCACCCCAGCCCUCCUGCCAGGGCUCCUCCCCACGGGCUACAGCUCCGGCCCGAGGCUGCUCCUGCGGGGGCUCUCCGCGGGCUGCGGCCUUCAGGCCACAUCCACUGCUGCACCGCGAGCUCCUCCAUGGCUGCACUUGAAAAUGUGCUCCACGUGGUGUCCAUGCGCUACAGGCGACAGCCUGCUCCACCGUAGGCCCCACCCGGGCCGCAGGCAGCUUCCACUGCGUGCCUGGAUCUCCUGCAGGGCACAUUGGUGGUUGCAGGGUUGUUUCUCUUACGUUCUCACUCCUCUCUUUCAGCCGCUGUUGCGCAGCAGUUUUUUCAUUUCCUCAGUCUGCUUUCCCAGAGACACCCAGCGUGCUCAUGGCUUAGCUUUAACGACGGCGGGUCUCUUUAGGAGCAGCUAGAGCUGGCUCUGUUCUGAUAUAGGGCAGUGCUGGGCUCUGUUCACAGAAACCACACCUUUAGUCCCCUGCAACCAAAACAUUGUUAUGUAAACUCAAUACAACAGGGAGUAAUUUUGUCUUUCAAAUGCAUUUUGCAGCAAGAGAAUGCAGUAUUGGCUUGCUAAUUCUGAAGAAGUCUGUUUCUUUGCAUUUUCUUCACCAUCAAAGUGAUACUGAAACAGGCUGGGUACUGGAGCUAACUCCCCAGUGCAAAUUUCUGUAGAGCCUCAAGCGAAUCCAAGAAUUCCCUGUGGUGGAAAGCCCAAACAGCUGGUUGUCAUCUCUUUCAGUCAAACUCGGUGUUGAAUAAAGAGCUUCAGGGGCUCAAGCCAGAAAAGAAAAUUAUGUCAGUGAGGCUGAAUGCGAGGUUUAGGCUGAAAAAUACCAGGGACUAUAUAGUAUUGCUCUUUUUGUAUUGAAAAAGCCUUCGCCCUUCGGAUGCACUCAGUGAAGAAAUUUUGGAGAUAAACAAUUUCAGCAUGAUACUGUGACAAGAAUCAGUGUAUUACAAAGCUCUCUUUUCUACUCUCUCAUCAAAACCAAGAUAUACUUGCCACCUCUUCAUUUGGGAUGGACGGAAAUAUUUGUUUAUCGGAGAGAAUGCUUUUCCUAAGCAGUAAGGUAGCAAUUAGUGCCUAAGUAUCCUGUGAGUUUAGCCAUAUGUCUUCCACGUAAGCAUAUUAUUUAGCAUAGUAAUACCAGUUAUUUAUGUGCUGCCAAAACUGAUGAAAAGAAAAAUGCAAACAAAAUAGCAUUGUCACUGAAUGUUUAAUAAUUUAUAAUGGUUGCUAAAUUAGUUGCACAUAUAGUUUAUCUCUGUUCAGGCCUCAGGAUACCUCUGUAAUAAAAAUAAGAAGAAUGCUGCUCUUACAAAUGGCAUGUGUCUG